rnacentral:misc_RNA from 1 species
UUCUCUAAAUUGUAUUUCUAGAGUUGGCGAGGUUUUGAACAGCCCCCUCUCUGACCCCGGUUUAUUCCAUCUUACUUGUAUAAGAUUUGCGAAGGAUGUCGAAGCAUGGAAAAGGGUACUGUUAAGUGGUUCAACAAUGCCAAAGGGUUUGGUUUCAUCUGCCCUGAAGGCGGCGGCGAAGAUAUUUUCGCUCAUUAUUCCACCAUUCAGAUGGAUGGUUACAGAACGCUAAAAGCUGGACAAUCCGUUCAGUUUGAUGUCCACCAGGGGCCAAAAGGCAAUCACGCCAGUGUUAUUGUGCCCGUCGAAGUAGAAGCGGCAGUCGCAUAGCUCUUCUGUCUCAUUGUGUACAUCCUAAAGGCAAAAUGCCAGCCCGAUCGGCUGGCAUUUUUAU